UCUUCCUCAUAACACCAAACAGAGAGAGCACACCAAACAGAGAGCACGAAAGGGGCUGCGAUUUUAGGGUUUUCAAGGUUGUGAUUUUGGUGGUGAGAUUUUAGAGAGUACUUUGCAUCAAAACUUCUAUAUCUAUCAAUCACACAUUUGAGAUGGUUAGGUCACUAUUAUAGGGGAAAUGCUGCCCGAUAUUAUUUAGGAUAAUAAACAAUUAGUUGAGAACGGGCAUUACUUGAUUGAACAUGCAAGUCCCAGGCAUUACUUGAGAACGCUAACAAGCACAUCAUAUACAGAGGCACAAAUUGAUGAGUUGCGACAAGAAUGGGCGACA